rnacentral:rRNA from 1 species
AGUGAGGAAUAUUGGUCAAUGGACGAGAGUCUGAACCAGCCAUCCCGCGUGCAGGAUGACGGCCCUAUGGGUUGUAAACUGCUUUUCUAUGCCAAGAAACCUGACUACGUGUAGUCAGUUGCCGGUAGCAUAGGAAUAAGCAUCGGCUAACUCCGUGCCAGCAGCCGCGGUAAUACGGAGGAUGCAAGCGUUAUCCGGAUUCAUUGGGUUUAAAGGGUGCGCAGGUGGGCUUGUAAGUCAGUGGUGAAAUGCUGCCGCUUAACGGUAGAACUGCCAUUGAUACUGCAAGUCUUGAAUAUGGUUGAGGUAGGCGGAAUGUGUUGUGUAGCGGUGAAAUGCAUAGAUAUGACACAGAACGCCGAUUGCGAAGGCAGCUUACUAAGCCAUAAUUGACGCUGAGGCACGAAAGCGUGGGGAGCGAACAGGAUUAGAUACCCUGGUAGUCCACGCUGUAAACGAUGAUCACUCGCUGUUUGCGAUACACAGUAAGCGGCUGAGCGAAAGCAUUAAGUGAUCCACCUGGGGAGUACGAUCGCAAGGUUG